rnacentral:rRNA from 1 species
UGCAGGAGAAACUGCAGGGCUCGAGUAUGGGAGAGGUGAGUGGAAUUUCCGGUGUAGCGGUGAAAUGCGUAGACAUCGGAAGGAACACCUGUGGCGAAAGCGGCUCACUGGACCACAACUGACGCUGAUGCACGAAAGCUAGGGGAGCAAACAGGAUUAGAUACCCUGGUAGUCCUAGCCCUAAACCAUGAUUGCUUGGUGUGACGGGUACCCAAUCCCGCCGUGCCGUAGCUAACGCGUUAAGCAAUCCGCCUGGGGAGUACGGUCGCAAGGCUG